UCCCAACUACCCUUGAAAUCAAUUGCACACGCCCUUAGAAUAUCUUCUAAGGUUUGAAUGGUUCUUUCUGCUUGACCAUCUAUCUGAGGAUGAAAGGUUUUACUGAGAUGAACUUGGGUACCAAGACCCUUUUAAAACACUUUCCAGAAGUGAGAGGUGAACUGGGUACCUCUUUCUGAGAUGAUAGAUAACGGAACACCAUGCAAUCUGACCAACUCUCUGAUGUAGAGUUUGGCAUAAUCCUUGGCUGAAUAAGAGGUAUGAACUGGAAGGAAAUAAGCUGAUUUGGUUAUUCUAUCUACAAUGACACAGACUGAAUCAUGCUGAUGACGUGUUUGAGGCAAACCCAUCAUGAAGUCCAUGUUCACUUCUUCCUACUUCCAAGUAGGAAUAAUGAACUCCUACAUCAAACCACUAGGCUUCUGAUGCUCUAUUUUAACCUGUUGACAUGUAUAGCACUUAGCUACAAACUCUACAAAAUCUUUAUUUAUUCCACUCCACUAAUAGAUAUCCCAUAAAUCACGGUACAUCUUAGUGGCCCUUGUAUAAAUAGAGUAGUGCGCACCAUGCGCCUCUGCAAUAAUUUGCUUCUUUAAGUCAUCUACACCUAGAACAAAGAGAUGAACCUGACAACGAAUAACACUAUCUUCCCCUUGUCAGAAAGCCUCCACUUUUUGAUUCUGAACUGACUCUUUCAACUUGACAAGGCUGGAAUCCCUAUCUUGCUUUUCUUUUACCUCAAAAACUAGAGAUAAUUCUGAACUACUCUGAACACAUACGCCACCCUCUGAUGAAUCAACUAAGCGAACGCCUAGUCUGGUAUGCUGAUGGACUUCUUGAGCUAGCUUCUUCUUACUAUCUUCCACAUGAGAAACACUACCUAUGGAAAGCCUACUAAGAGUGUCGACCACUACAUUGGCCUUUCUCUGAUGAUAGAGAACACUCAUGUCAUAAUCUUUCAAGAGCUCUAACUACCUUCUCUGAUGAAGAUUGCGAUCAUUCUAUGAAAAGAUAUACUGAAGGCUCUUAUGAUCUGUGAAGAAAUCUACAUGAACGCUGUAUAGAUAAUGCCUCCAAAUCUUUAAGGCAAAAACUACGGAUGCUAACUCAAGAUCAUGAGUAGGGUGAUUCUUCUCAAGGGGUUUAAGCUGUCUAGAGGCGUAGGCUAUGAACUUACCAUGCUACAUGAGGACACAACCCAAACCCACUCUGAUGCAUCAUAAUAAACUACAAACCCAUCUAAACCAUCUGAAAGAGCUAGAACAAGAGCUGAGGUAAGUUAAGUCUUCAAUUCCUAAAAACUCUUCUCGCAUGGAUCUGACCACUAAAACUUGAUUUUCUUCUGAGUCAAUCUGGACAUAGGGGAUGCAAUAAAAGUAAAUCACUCAGCAAUCUAUUUGUAAUAGCCAGCCAGACCCAAGAAACUCAUGAUAUCUGAUGGAGAUAUGGGUCUGGGCCAGUUUCUUACUGCUUUGGUCUUUUGAAGAUCUACACUAAUGCCAUCACCGAAAACGAUAUGAACAAGGAAUACUGUUGAACUUAGCCAAAAUUUGAACUUACUAAAUUUGGUGAAUAACUGAUGAUUUAUGAGAGUUUGAAGUACUAUUUUGAGAUGCUCUGCAUGAUCGCGCUCAGUGCGAGAAUAGAACAGAAUAUCAUCUAUGAAGACUAUGAUGAACAUGUCCAAGUAUUGCUUGAACACAUGGUUCAUUAAGUCCAUGAAGGCUGCUGGGGCAUUGGUAAGACCAAAUGACAUGACUAGAAAUUUAAAGUGACCAUUCUAAGUACGGAAACCUAUUUUUGGAAUGUCAUAUUCUCUAACUCUUAGAUAAUGAUAGCCUGAUUUGAAGUCUAUCUUAGAGAAAUAACUAGAACCCGAAAGUUGGUCAAACAAGUCAUCGAUUCUGGGAAGUGGAUGCUUUUUCUUGACUAUGACUUUAUUAAGUUGACGAUAAUUAAUGGACAUUCUAAGAGAACCAUCUUUCUUGCGCAUGAAUAAGAUUGGUGCACCCCAUGGGGAACUACAGGGUCUAAUGAAUCCCUUAUCUAAGAGAUCCUUCAACUGUUCUUUUAGUUCUCUGAGUUCUGUCGGUGACAUUCUGUAUGGCGGAAUAGAGAUAGGCUGAGUAUCCAGAAGAAGAUCAAUAUCGAGGUCUAUUUUCUUUCCGAAAAGAAUUCCUAGAAGAUCUUUGGGAAAGACAUCUGAAUAUUUAUUUAUAACUGAAAAUGAUUCAAGAUCGGGAGUCUCAAAGCUGGAAUCCUUAACAUGAACAAGAGGAUAGACACAUCCCUUAGAUAUCAAUUUCCUUACCCGAAGGUAGGAAACAUGCUUACCACUGAAAGCAGAUACACUACCCUUCCACUCUAGGAUGGGUUCAUUCAAAAACUAAAAAUGAACUAUUCUAUUUCUGCAGUCUACUACAGUAUAGCAGGAAUAAAAAAUCAAUCCAUGCCGAGAAUGACAUCAAAAUCAGUCAUCUCUAAUUCAACUAAGUCUGCUGAAGUAACUUUCUAAAAUAUCAUAAUCGGGAAGUUCCUGUAUACCUACCGGGCUAUGAUGGUUUUAACCACUAGGUUAGAGACUAAAAAGAGCUCUGCUAGAAUUUCAGGACUGAUUUCGAAAUCAACUUAUAUAUAAGAAGUACUAAAAGACAAAGAAGCUCCUAGAUCUAACAAAGCAUAAAUAUGCACAUGAAAGAUCUGUAACGUACCAGUAACUACAUCAGGAUAAUUUUCUUGAUCUUGUUGAGUUUGAAGGGCAUAAAGAUGAUUUGGGCGUUGCCCACUAGUAGCACUGGAAGUGGUACCCUACUGAUUUGGGCGAUCAGACUAAGCUGAAGAGCGAUUUUAUUGACCCUGAGGACCUGGCUGAGGACAGUUUCUGACUUUAUGGCCUGGCUUACCACAACCGAAACAAAUUCCACUACCCGCCCUACACAUACCUUGAUGGUGCUUACCAUAAGUCUGGCAAAGAGGAUAGAUACGGGCACUGCUAACACUGCCCUGGGUCUUAGAGCCUGGCGCUCUAUCUUUUGUUACCCUCUCUGAACUUAGGAACUGGAGCACUGGCUGUAGAGAAAGAUGGAACUGAUGACUUAGGAGGGAACUGAGAACGGUUUCCUCCUUCUAACUUAAGAUGAGCGAAGUUGAAGCUACCUGUCUUCGCUCUCUUAUUCUACUUCUCCCUCUGCUUAAUCUUCUUUUCCUCUAUCUACUGAGCAUGGGUCAUAAGUUUAGCUAAGGUCAUGUCACUAUUCAGCAUGGCAGAUCUGCACUCAUUAACACGCUGUCGUUCACCCCUGAAGCAAACUUACUUAUCUUGGAUCUACUAUCUUCAACCAUAUGAGGGGCAUAUCUGGCUCUUCAACCAUAUGAGGGGCAUAUCUGGCUAAUUGAGUAAACUUUAGAGAAUACUCUUCAUCAUCAUAUUGCCCUAGCUAAGGUUGAUGAACUCUAGCCCCUUGGCUUCUCCAAGCUCUAAGGGAAAGAAUCUGUCUAAGAAUGCAGUAACAAACUCCUCCCACUCUAUAGGACCUGCAUCAUCGGACCUUUCUGGCUGCCACCGUUUGAACCAAGCAUGAGCCAUAUCCUACAACUGGUAUGAAGCUAGACCAGCACUCUCAAUAGUAGUCACCCCCAUGAUGUCUGUCACUUUCUAGAUCUGAUAAAUGAAUUCUUAAGGCUCUUCAUCUACCUUAGACCCAAGGAAGUUUGGAGAAUUCAUUCGGGUGAGGUCUCGAAUCCUAGCUGUAGCUGACUUGGCCAUUAGGUUAGCUGGAAUAACUGUUGCCCGUUCAUUUUGAGCAUCGACUGAUUGAGCAAGAGUGGUAAAUACGGUCUUGAACUCCGCAUGAGAAACAUGAUUGCCCAAAGGUUCUUCGGGCUGAGGGGCUGACUAAUUUCUUCCCUUAAGAGGCAUAUUCUGAAAUAAAGAGAAAAAAUGGAUUAGACUGAGAGACUGAAUUGUGAUUAUGCUUAUUGGCAUCACAUGAAUAGUGAAAUAAGGGAAACUAUUCUUAUGACAUCUCAUAGCCUCCUGCACAUAAAUGUGGUGUGCAACACACCCAUGUACAAGACUCUACUAGAUGUGGCUUUCAGACUUCCUAGGACUAUUGAAUCUUAGGCUCUGGUACCAAGUUUGUAAUGCCCCGAUUUGAUGAACCGGAGUGCCACACGGUGCUCAGGACCUCAAAAGACCACAAGCUAACCCAUGAUUGAUAUCUGUACCUGUACACUGCAUAAUAUAACAUGAUAAUAUGGAAACAUGCACUGAAAGGACAUAAGGUUCAAUACUAAAUAUAAUCCACAUAACAUCUGAGUGGGGUAAUGGAAUACCCUAAACAAAAUUGAAAAUAAUGAAGUCUGAAAUCAAUUCUACAUAUAGUCUGAAAGCCUCUACUGUCUGAAAAAUUUGAAUAAAUAGUUGAUAGGAUAUGUCCCCAACUAACUCCAUCUAAUAAACUGUCUAAUGAAAUAAUAGAAAAAUCAUCAUCUCCUCGAAAGAUGAGGACUUACUUCUACUCUGACUGCUACAAACUGGAAUCUACUGCUGAUCUGGAGCUCGUAUUUCUGAACCUAUGGUAUAAGAACACCAUAGCGUGAAUUCGUCAGUACGAUUGAAUGUACUGGUAUGCAUGUGAGGUAGGCUAAAUACAUGGGAUACAUAUGCAUGAACAAAAAUAAUAACUGACUGACUAUCAUGAGCAUAGGAGUACAUGCAUGAGACGUGAUAAGUGACAUUGAUAACGUGAGUACAUGUUAACUGAAGCUAAAUGCUGAUAACUUAAUACUAAUAACUGAUAACAUGAAUGACUAUAUCUAAAUAUAACUGAUAACAUGGGUGACUGUAACUGACAGCCUUAAAUCUGAUGAAACUAUAUUAGUUCUGUACUAUUUCUGAGUUGACUAUGUCUGACAGUCCUAAUUCUGUAACAUGAAACUAUGGGAAGUAGUAUUUAAUAGAAAUGCCCUAAAUUUGCCAUAAUAGCUGAGCUGGGGUCCAAUCCAUGCCCUUAUUGGAAGGGUGUCAAUACCGCACCACUACUAAGGACAACAUGUGAGAAACCCUCCGAUAAUAGGUAACUCUAGUGAGAACAGUGGGAACCCUCAUAUAACAGGUUAAUCCACCUCUUCUACCCUCAUAUAGCAGGCUACGAUGUCUCAACCUAUGCUGGCUAUAUAGUUCUAGAAUACAAGGAUUUGCUUCUAAGAGUCAUAACCUCAUAUAACAGGUAAGUUCCCAUCCUUGGGUUCACUCGGUGCUAAUUCCUACUCCCAUCUGAAUAGACACUGAACAUGAUUUACUGAACUAAACAUGGACUGAAUUACUGAAUUUUGUUGACCAACGGAACACUACUAAUAUUUGUCAACUAGCUGAGUUCAUGAGAUCAUGGAGAUUUCCUGAGCCAUAAGACUGUCUUAAGUCUAAGGAUUCAUAGCUUGACUGAGAGUAUCGUAAAAACAUGACAUAGCUCUAGGCACAUAGCUAAUGUUUCGAGUACAAGUAUCCCCAGGACUCGAUGGAAGGAAACUGACAUGACGAUAUUCUUGAAUACAUAGUAUUAACCACAAUACAUUUAUUGAAGCAUUUGAUCAAACGUCUAAUAGGCAUAAGGUUGUACAUUCAUGGGGAUUUCAUGAUAUCAUGCUAGUUAGGAAAAUUUCAUUCAUCUAUUCAUUUAAUCAAACAAAUUAUAGGCAUGAUACAUAUAAACGUCAUUGAAUAGAAAUUUAACAUCAUUUUUCACUCCCAAUUUUUAGUCAUGAGAUUUUAUAAAUCUUUAUCUAUACUAAUCAACCCAUAUGGAAUUUAUCAUCAAGUUAUGGAAUAGAAAUCAAUUCCUCAUUUAUCAACAUGAACAUGAGCAGCCAAAAUAUGAACACAUAAAGAAAAUUCAUAACUUGUAGUUGAAAAGGGAUUCUUGGACUUCAUGGAUGAAAGGAGUCAAUGAGUGAACACUAUGCUUACACUAGUUCGUAAAUAUAUAAUGAUUGAUGGAGAGAUUAUAGAAAUUUGAUGGUGAAUUCCCUUGGAAUUGGCCCUUCUAUGAAAACCCUAGGGCUUGUUCUUUCGAGUUUCUGAGAGUAAUUGAAUAAUGAUAAGUAUUUUGGUCACCAAUAGAUUAAUUCUCUUGUUUUAGGUUAACUAGGGCCGUGGAAAAAGACCCAAUUACCCUUGAAUGAAUUUAAAAACAGAAGAUGGGAACUGAAAAUCAUGAUUUUUGACCUUGGCACGAUGCACCACUAUCGCACCAAGCCACUGGAAAUUGACAACUGGGACCUGGGACCUUGGCUCGACGCGGAGUCAAUCGCGGUGCCCUUUUGAUUCUGGUUUUCACCCUUAGUGCGAUGCACUGGGAUCACCGAGUAAUACUGGAAAAAGGAUAAACGUCAUUUUGUCUUAUGGCGUGAUGCACCACUGACUGAAUUUACGACGUUCUACGACUGAAACUUUAAAUUGCCAUAACUUCUUACCUGAUUGUCGAAUUUAGGCAAAUCUUAUAUCGAUGGAAAGCUUAAUUGAAAAUUCAUCAUGGAAUAAUCAUUGUUCAAUUUUGAAGGUAAUACUAGGAAUUCUUGGGACAAAAUUAGCUAAGAUAAAUUUUGGGGUAUUACAAUAUCUCUCCUUUGAGAACAUUCGUCCUCGAAUGAGACUAAGAGAGGGAAAGUACAUAGACUGACGUGCACUCUAAACAUGAAUAACUGGAACAUGAUCUCAAGACUGACAUGACUGAUAACUAAACACAUAACAAUGAACAUGGGCAUCUGAUACAUGUAUAAUUGAUUCAUGAAUGCAUAACUGAGUAUUCUUAAAGAAUUAAAUCUCUCACAAUGAGAAUGCAUGUCUGAGGCAUAAUUAUAUAACUGAGCUGAUACAUGAAUGCAUAACUUAAUAUUCAAUGGUACUUGAUACCAAGUUUAUCCUGGGAACAUGAACAUGAAACUGAAUACCAAGUUCGUGAUGAACACUGAACAUGAAACUGAGUAAGCUUAAGGAGAACUAUUACCUUGAGCUUGAUCUGAGUCCGCGGGGAAGAUGUGAGGAUACUUGAUAUGUAUGUCUUCUUCUUCUUCCCAGGUAUCUUCCUUGAUGGACUAAUUUCUCCAAAGAACUUUAACUAGAGGGACUUAUUUGUUCCUCAGUUUUCGAGUCUGAUAGCCUAGGAUUUCGACCUGGAUCUCCUCGUAAGAAAGGCUAUUCUGAACAUCUAUGCUCUGAAUAGGGACUACAACUGCUGGGUCACUUAUGCACUUCUUGGGAAAAGUGACAUGGAAGACUGGAUGAACUAAAUCUAGAUCUAAAGGCAAUUCGAGAUCAUAAGCUACUUUGCUGAAACGACUGAGAAUCUUGAAGGGACUGAUAUAUCGGGGACUGAGUUUUACCUUCUUGCUGAAUCUCUUCACUCCAUUCAUAGGAGAGAUCUUGAAGUAGACAUAAUUACCAAUGUUGAACUUGAGAUCCUUUCUACGAACAUCUAUAUAAGACUUCUGUCGGCUCUGAGCAGCCCGAAGUCUUUCUCUAAUCAACUGAACUUUCUCUAAGGCAUCGAAUACUAAGUCAGGCCCUAUAAUUGAGGCCUCACUAACUUUGAACCAACCAAUUAGAGAUCUACAUCUCCUACCAUAGAGAGCUUUAAAUGGAGCUAUCUGAAUACUAGAAUGAUAGCUAUUGUUGUGCUAACUCAAUCAAAGGCAAGUGGCCAUCCCAACUACCCUUGAAAUCAAUUGCACACGCCCUUAGAAUAUCUUAUAAGGUUUGAAUGGUUCUUUCUGCUUGACCAUCUAUCUGAGUAUGAAAGGCUAUAUUGAGAUGAACUCGAGUACCAAGACCCUUUAGAAACACUUUUCAGAAGUGAGGUGAACUGGGUACCUUUAUCUGAGAUAAUAGAUAACGGAACACCAUGCAAUUUAACCAACUCUCUGAUGUAGA
rnacentral:lncRNA from 1 species